AUUGAACGCUGGCGGCAUGCCUUACACAUGCAAGUCGAACGGUAACAGGUCUUCGGAUGCUGACGAGUGGCGAACGGGUGAGUAAUACAUCGGAACGUGCCCGAUCGUGGGGGAUAACGAGGCGAAAGCUUUGCUAAUACCGCAUACGAUCUACGGAUGAAAGCGGGGGAUCUUCGGACCUCGCGCGGACGGAGCGGCCGAUGGCAGAUUAGGUAGUUGGUGGGAUAAAAGCUUACCAAGCCGACGAUCUGUAGCUGGUCUGAGAGGAUGAUCAGCCACACUGGGACUGAGACACGGCCCAGACUCCUACGGGAGGCAGCAGUGGGGAAUUUUGGAUAAUGGGCGAAAGCCUGAUCCAGCCAUGCCGCGUGCAGGAUGAAGGCCUUCGGGUUGUAAACUGCUUUUGUACGGAACGAAAAGCCUCUUUCUAAUAAAGAGGGGUCAUGACGGUACCGUAAGAAUAAGCACCGGCUAACUACGUG
rnacentral:rRNA from 1 species